ensembl:lncRNA
UUUUCCAAGAAAAGGAAAGAGGGGUUGUGGCACAGAACGGAGUGCUACUUGAUUAGCAUUGUUUUUGCAGUGCACGUCUGGGUUAAAUGAGAAUGACAUGUUUUCCUCCUUUAUUCAAGACAUUUGUCUUUGAUAUUGUUUGCUGGCUUACUUCAUCUGUUCUGGCAUGGAUGCAGAGAGCUGGCCCAGCGAUUCCCGCAACGCUCCACAGAUGUUAUUGACCUCUGGGUUAACUCAUGUCAGUUUUUUAGCAUGGCUUUG